rnacentral:rRNA from 1 species
UCCGUAGGUGAACCUGCGGAAGGAUCAUUAAUUAUGUUAAAGCGCCUUACCUUAGGGUUUCCUCUGGGGUAAGUGAUUGCUUCUACACUGUGAAAAUUUGGCUGAGAGACUCAGACUGGUCAUGGGUAGACCUAUCUGGGGUUUGAUCGAUGCCACUCCUGGUUUCAGGAGCACCCUUCAUAAUAAACCUAGAAAUUCAGUAUUAUAAAGUUUAAUAAAAAACAACUUUUAACAAUGGAUCUCUUGGUUCUCGCAUCGAUGAAGAACGUAGCAAAGUGCGAUAACUAGUGUGAAUUGCAUAUUCAGUGAAUCAUCGAGUCUUUGAACGCAGCUUGCACUCUAUGGUUUUUCUAUAGAGUACGCCUGCUUCAGUAUCAUCACAAACCCACACAUAACAUUUGUUUAUGUGGUGAUGGGUCGCAUCGCUGUUUUAUUACAGUGAGCACCUAAAAUGUGUGUGAUUUUCUGUCUGGCUUGCUAGGCAGGAAUAUUACGCUGGUCUCAGGAUCUUUUUUUUUGGUUCGCCCAGGAAGUAAAGUACAAGAGUAUAAUCCAGUAACUUUCAAACUAUGAUCUGAAGUCAGGUGGGAUUACCCGCUGAACUUAAGCAUAUCAAUAAGCGGAGGA